rnacentral:rRNA from 1 species
AUUGAACGCUGGCGGCAGGCCUAACACAUGCAAGUCGAGCGGAUGGAGAGAGCUUGCUCUCUGAUUUAGCGGCGGACGGGUGAGUAAUGCCUAGGAAUCUGCCUGGUAGUGGGGGAUAACGUUCCGAAAGGAACGCUAAUACCGCAUACGUCCUACGGGAGAAAGCAGGGGACCUUCGGGCCUUGCGCUAUCAGAUGAGCCUAGGUCGGAUUAGCUAGUUGGUGAGGUAAUGGCUCACCAAGGCUACGAUCCGUAACUGGUCUGAGAGGAUGAUCAGUGACACUGGAACUGAGACACGGUCCAGAAUCCUACGGGAGGCAGCAGGGGGGAAUAUUGGACAAUGGGCGAAAGCCUGAUCCAGCCAUGCCGCGUGUGUGAAGAAGGUCUUCGGAUUGUAAAGCACUUUAAGUUGGGAGGAAGGGCAGUAAGUUAAUACCUUGCUGUUUUGACGUUACCGACAGAAUAAGCACCGGCUAACUUCGUGCCAGCCGCCGCCGUAACAC